rnacentral:lncRNA from 1 species
UUAUUUGAAAAGUAAGACAUUUUGCAUUAAUUUAAAGCAUCAUUUUCAUUCAAAUUUGUCCAUUCAUUCAUACAAAACCGUUUACAAACACAUACAAAGAAAAUUAUAAAAAAAAUGCUUCUUUGAACAAAGGUUGACUUUGGCUAACAAUUGACUUUUUGGUCAACUUUGACCAAAGUCAACCAUUUAAGACUUAAGACCUAACUCUAACUUCUUCAUCCAUCAUCCUCAUGAUCAUGUGCUUUUAAGCUUCAUGCCAAUUUUCUUCCAUGCCAUGCCACUUUCUCUUUGCACAUGAAUACCUUAAAAGGGCAAAACAAAGCCAUAAGUAUUGUCUUCAAGUUUAAAACAUGACUUUCCAAGGCAACCAUGACAUGUCAUUCAAUGGCAAUGUAAUAUCAACACCAUUGAUUUAGUAGUAGUAACAUUGACAUAGCUUAACAUUUUAACAAACUCAUAACAUUCAUUUCAUAACCAUCCUUGAAUUUGCUACCACUAACUUUUUCUUAACAUGAACAAACCAUUUCCAAUUUAUAACUAUGCAUGGACCAAAGCAAAUCGAAACUAACAAUUAAUCAUAAUUUCAGUUUUCAUAAUAAUGCAUUCAUCAACCAUUCCAAAACAUGACAAGUGCACCAAAACUAGGAACCAAAAGACUUCAAAAUCGCAAAUAAAGUUUCUAUGUGAUUACCUUACCACUAAGCUUGGGGAUUUUUUUGCCUUCUACUAUUGCUGCCCCUUUCAACAUAAUGUAUAUCCGUGGACUUCAUCAUUCAACAAUGUAUGAAUCACUAGUUCCAUGACCUACUGUCAGAAUCAAACAGAGAAAGCAAUUUAGCAUGAUCAUUACCAUCAUUUUCAUAGAAUUUUAGUCAUGACAAGAAUCAUGUUAGGGUUUCUAAUUUGCUAGCAGCAUUUAACAAGAACAACAGUUAAUUCGGUAUCUCAAUGCAGAGCUAAACCAACUCACUUCAGACCCAUAACAAAGUCAAUUAAUCACCAAAAACUAACUUCUAAUUUAACUAAUUCUGAGUUACAUGUCAACCUACCUACUAACCAAUUAACCAAUACCUACUGGAGUUCCACAUAACUGACAUAUUGACCUACAAAUAAACUAAUAUUAAUCAGUUUUCUAAUUGAACUAACAAGCUCAAACACUAACCCUACAGAACCAAUGGAUGAAAUAUAACAGAAAAUUCAAAAGAUUUCCAACGACACAUUCAUGUAACAAGGCUCAUUGCAGCUCACCAUUAGUUAACCUGGGUGUAGCGAUACAUAAUCUUUUCAUCCUAACCUAAACUAACUUAUUCCAAUUGCAAAUAACAGAAAUCCUGAAUUUAUAACUAACAUUACAUUUCAUGUGAAUUUCAUCUAAAUUUCUGACAUGCUUGGGGCUCUAUAUAAGCGUACCUUCACUGUAAUUUUGGGAGGGGAUUCAUUAUUCAGAUUUCAUUUCAAACUCUUCCAAAAGCUCUGAGAGUUCUGAUUCGUUCUUCACUCUCACUUUUCAUUCAUACAAGCAAAUUGAAUCUUCAGUCUUCUUGGAUUCAUACAUUCACACGCAGAAUCCUCUUCAUACAGGCACCAGAAACACACGAAUCACGUCACAUCAAAGGGAGAUCGAAGAAGAUUCAAGAAGAAGGAAUCGAAGACGAAUGAUUACCUCGUGGAGCACCGAGAAGCCGCUGUGCUUGAACGCUGCUUCGGUACACUUUAACCUUAUUGAAUUUAUCUCCUACUUGCAUUUCGUUUUGAGUUGGUGAUGGCGUGUUUGAGUUUUGGCGGAUUCUUCACGGCGUGUUCGGAAUUUGAGAUCUGAGCUUCAAUUCAGAUUCACGUAUUCGUUGCAACCUUCAACGAUUUGGAAAACUCAGGAGUAUGUUCUUUGAUUUGGAGUUUCAUAACUUGAAUCCAGAAUGCGAAGGAGAAUGAAGAACGCGAUGCUGAAUAUUGGAACGUGAUACUGACUUUUUCAUAUGAGCGCCUUUGUUCUUCAGCUUGGUGAACUUUCCCAUUUUGUAGCUUGGAUUAGGUUUGGUCCUAAGGCUUAAACGAUUUGUUCUAUGCACACACUUGCCAUGGACCUACAACUCCCUAGAGCGACCGCGCUUGGCUGGACAUGUGGCCCAUUCUGAAUCCCUCAUGGAACCCCUUUUUUGGCAACUGUUCAGCGCUUGGGCUUUGAGCUCCAGGCCCAAACGUUUUUGCUGGCUAACACCCACAUUCCAAACGCAUACACCCCUCUAAUUCAGACCAUUUUUCUUAGGGCUUAUAUCUGAAAGCCCAAGCCAGAGUUGUUGAUUACCACAGGUUUUGGGCCUGCACCCCCUUCUAAAUCUUAAUUAAUUUUCGUUUUGUUUAAUCAUAUUUAAUUAUUAUUAAUCAAUUGAUUUUUUUUGCUUAAAUUAAUCAUGUUUGUUAUAUAGGUUAAUUAUAAUUAGGUUAAUUAUUUUAAUUAGUUAAUUAUGAUUUAAUUAAUUAAUUAAUUUUGAUUAGUAGAAUAAAUUCUAAUUCUAAUUAAUUGAUUAAUUAUUGUCUUUAGAGAUUUUAGGUUUUGUUAAAUUGAACUUAGCUUAAUUUCAUUCUCGUCACAUAUUCAUGAAUUGUUUUUAAUUAAUUAAUUAGUUUUAAUUAAUUCUAAAUAAUCUUGAUUUUUAAUUCCAUUUAAUUAAUUUGCACAUAUUGACCAUUUUCCCCUUGGAAGAAAUUUUAAUUUUUAAUGCAUGAUCCAUUAGCUUAGGGUUUGCUUAGAGGUAAUUAAUUCUUUAAUUGAUUAAUUCAUUAGGUGGUUGUACAUAAACCAAUUAACGUCUAUGCAUCUCAGUGAUUAGUGUUGACCAAAGGUCACUUUGGUAAACCAAAUCCUUUGUAUUGUGCUUUAACCCCUAAGCUUAUUCAAGUGAUCAAAAGACCCUUUGAUCACGUGAUAGGGAAAGUCCAUUAUGCUCAAGCUUUAUUGGAUGUGUUGAAUCUCAGGAGCUCAAGACCUCAAGGUUCAAACCCAAGAUCAAGACUUCAAGGUCAAUGCCAAGUAAGCAUAGCUGACAAAGUUAACUACUUCUCAAGCACGACAAAGGUAUCAACUCUUGUCAAUCAUAAUUCAUAUUGUGUGGCAUGAGCCUUAAGAAACAGAGAAGGAAUGAGAGUGGAGGAUUCCAUAAACUCAUUUUGAAUAUCUUUGGGUACGGAUGAAUGACCCAAUUGUUCAUCGUAUUCACCUAUACUCAUGGACGUUAGCACAAUUCGAAUCAAAUGAUUGUCAAGUCUUCUUCUACAACAAGUAGCAUUGCAUCAUCAGGAUCAACACUCAGAAUCUUCUAUCAACAACUUGUCAAUUUUGAUUUAAGUUGUAUGUCAUGAGCCUUAAGUAACACAGAAUGAUGAGAGUGGAGCAUUCAUAUCCUUGUCUAGGAUAUCUUUGGGUAUGGGACGAAUGACCCAGUUGCUCAAGGUAUUCGCCUUUAUUCAUAGACUUUAGUGCAAUUUGAAUCAUAUAAUUGACAAGUUUUCUUCAAGCAAGCAUCAAUCAUUCAACACUUCAACAGUGAAGCAUCAUUGCACAUCAAUCAUUUUUCAACAUUGAAGCACCCUCCUCCUCCUCCUCUUGGAUUCAAUACCAGACUUUCCUCCUUGAUGUUCAUGCAUAUUUUGGGAUCAUUAUCUUAGGGUCACACGCCCAUUUCUUAAUCAAUUGCCUCAUGCAUUGCCUAUACAGUUACAGACUUUGGCAUUCUUAGUUCUUGCCCAUAAAGUGCAGACUUUGGCAACUUGAUUUGCCCAUGGAGUACAGACUCUAGCAACCCUUAAUUGUGCCUAUAAAGUUCAGACUUUGGCAUCCUUUAUUCUUUGCCUAUAAGGUGCAGAGCUUGGCAUUCUUGCCCUACAGAGUUACAGACUGUGGCAAGCCCCUUUUUUCUCUAUGGAGUUACAGACUCUAGUAACCUUUGAUUUUGUCGAUACAGUUACAAACUUUGAUAUUUUGUUCUGCCUUGCAGUCACAGACUUUGGUAUUCAUUCAUUUUGUCCAUGGAGUACAGACUUUGGCUACCUCUUUUAGUGCCUACACAAUUUAUACUUUGGCAUCAUAUUCCUUUGCCCUUAUUGAGUUGCAGACUUUGGCAUUCAAAUUUGUUUCUUUCCCUUGUAUAGUUACAGACUAUGGCAACCUAUGCUCAUUACUCUAUGGAGUUCAGACUCUGGCUAUAUCUCAUUCUGGCUUGUGGGGUUGCGAACCUUGUAACAUAUAUUUUCCUACCCUAUAGAGUCUCAAACUCUGGUAGCAUCUUUGGUUCAGACCAUGCCUUCCUUAAUACCCUAUGUUGAUUACCAUCAUUGGUUAAUGCCACAUUCUUUCUUUGUUAAGCAAUUUUCUUUGCCUCUGGGUAAUCUAAUUAAUCUACAUUUCCUUUGUUUUCGUGGUUCCACAAACUACGGAGCUCUGAAUUUCUCAUUACAUGAUGAGAAUAUGUUGACAUGAGGGUUCGAAUCCUCCUCGAGCAAUAUUUAUUCAUAUUUAUUUAUUCUUUCUCUAUUCUUCCAUUCAUCCCCAUAAUUCAUUAUUCACUACAUUCAUUCAAAUAUCUACUACCUUCAUUCACUUAUGUGAUAUACCUCUCUCUUUGAGCCAAAUACACCAUAUCUUUGAGCUCCAUAUUGUGUCUGCUUGUGAACCAAGAGAUAUUUUCUAUGGAACCAAACACUUAAUUCUCUUUGUUUUUUGCCGUACAAUAUAGUGGUGAAUGCUUCAGGCUACCCACAUAUUGGUUAAUGCAAGUUUUACUCUUGGUUCAGAUUUCAUCCCUUUUUGGAGUCAAACCAGUUUAUCCGUUGGUUCAGACCAUACCUUCAAUCACAACUUCUUUUCACCUCCCACCAUUGGUUUUAUGAACUACGGAGCUAUGAAUUCCUUAUUGCACUAUAAGGAUACGUAGGCAUGAGGGCCAUAAUUCUCUCUGAGCACUUUAUUUAUUUAUUUUCUUUUCCCUUUAUUCUUUCGCGAGUAACCUUUAGAUAUAACACACAUUCAAGAAAGAACAAUCAAAAUGGUUCUCAUUGAGUACAACGGAUGUGAGGGAUGCUAAUACCUCCCAUUUGCAUAACCGACUUCCUCACCCAGUUAUCUCUUUUCCUUGGGUUUUAUCGAUGUUUUCCCUUCACUUCGAGAACAAAUAGUGUUCGAUGGUGACUUUGUUGUAUGUUCCAGCGUGCGAUGUGUUUGGUUAUAUUUCUGCUAGCUUCACAUAGAUUCAAUGUUCUCAUCAUUUUUCGUUAUGAACAUCUCAUAUUGCUGAACUUGAAGAUUUGUUUUAGCUUCUUGAACUUGUUAGUUACCUUCAUAGGUAGCACAUAAAUAAUUAAAAAUAGUCUUAGCAGUAUACUUAUCAAUAAUCUUUAUAUACUCAGAAUGAGGUAGGGCAUCAACAAGAAUGCCUUGCAUUAUAUGAUGCUUUCUAUAAAUCUUGUGUUGAUCCAGAGUGAGAUACUUUUUGUAAGAAACCAAUCCAACAUCAUAGACUUGAACAUCGAUGCCAUGUUCCAAGAUAUCCCACAACUCAUCAUCCAAACCAAUGAUGUGAGUGUACAUAUUUCUCUUCCACCAUUCAAACUCAGUAGAGUCACCACUAAAUGUUAGUGGUCUAGUAGUAUAGUUGUUUUGACCAGAUGUACUUUGAUCAUAGUUGUUAUUACCACAAGGAGAAUCUCUAACAAGGCUAGUUAUUUCAGAACUAUCAACCAUGAUGGAAAAAGUAUUUUUCUCAAGAUCUUUUCUAUACCACGGUUAAGUGUUUAGAAAAACCAUGCUGAAGGUGAGAAAAAUACACAAGAAAGGGGGGGUGAAUUGUGUAUGCCAAAAACGUGUUCUGCUUCUGAUCAAGCAACUUCAGAAUCUGAACAAUGUUUAGAGUCUGAUAUCAUAAAUGGUAGCAUCAGAAGAAAUGAUAAAGAUCAGAAGUAAAAGCAAGCAACAAACAAAGAUUAUCCUGGUUCCUUUUCUCAACUGAGAGUAUUCCAGUCCCUUUGCCUCAAAAAGAGAUUUUCACUAUAAUCAAUAAAUUAAACUUUGAUCAAGCACUCUUGCAAGAGACUUCACUUGCUCAAUUAACCUAGAAAGAGAAUUAUGCUCAAGCAACCUUGCAAGAGACUUCUUCUCAAUCAACCUAGAAAGAGACUUUAUCUCAAGUGCAUAGACAAGAGACUUCAUUGCUCAAGCACGCAGACAAGAGACUUCCUCUACUUUAAACAAAUAGUUUAGUAGAUAUGGUAACCAUUAUACUUAGAUACACAAUCAGAAGUAUAGCAGUUGUGCAACAACCACAAAGGUUCGUAACCUCUUAACAUUUCUAAGAUAUACAAAGAUAAGAAAUCUUAAGAUCUUAUGCAAUAACAGUUAGAAAUUAAAGCUCAGAGUUAUGCUUAAGAUAUUGUAUUGCGUUGUUGUUGUACACCUUCCUUCAAAUCUUCAACUUCCUUUUAUAGAGGUAAAGUAAGAGUCAUUUGAGUGUUUAAACAUAAGAGAAAAUUAGUGAAGAAGCAUGCCAAGAGAGACAUUGAAGAAUGUAUUUGUUUAGAAGCAUUUUCCACUAAGUAAUGGAAUUGUUCACAACACCUUUCUAAGUACUAGGUGUCUACCAAAAGGUAGAAAAUAUUGAAGAGUUCACAUCACCGUUCCUUGAGCCUACAAAAUAAAACCCUAGUUGACUCUGUCUAGAAAUCAGGGGUUUGACAAGACUAGUCUGCUUUGGUACAAUGUACAGAUCAGAGGCUCUUCAAGCCUUCUAAGUAUGAGUUGUCACCAGAGGUAAGAACAUAUGAACUAGAGCCUAAACCUUCAGAGGCUGAUGAACACAUUCAGAGUGAUCACAUUCUGAUCAAUCAUAAUCAAAAUUGUAUUGCUUCUCCACAUAUGCUUUCAAUCAGGAUUAAUCAUAUGUUUGUGAUCCUAUACACUUGAACAUAUGUUAUUAUAAUUGUUUGUUCUUUAAGUACUUUGUUAUCAUAAAAAGCCAAGGGACAUGAACAAUCUUGUUCCAACAAGCUUGUGAAGUCAAAGAGCACGUCCCUAACCCCGAGAGCUCAAACCCUCUAAGGAUUAGCUAGUGCGAGACAAAAAAUGGUUGAGUCGAAGGAUGAUAUCUCAAUAGGUUUAAAAUAAUGAAUUCAAAAUAUUUCACUCAAGUUCACGAACAUGAGUUAGUCGAAAUGGGUUAGGCAUUCAAACGGUUGAAAGCUGAAAAGGUUAGGUUGAAUAAAUACCAUAAAAAAGAAAAAGUUGCUUAUGUAGAAAUAGAUGAAAAUGAUCAAGAAUCGGACAUAGUUUAUGAAUAUGUUGAAGGAAAUGAUAUUAACCUAUUGAGUUGUAGCCAGGACUUCCAUAUGUUUGUAAGGUCCUAAGACCAUGUAAUGGAAAAAAUCAUGUCAAACCUAGUAAAACUGAAAAAUUCAUUACAAAAACCUAUAUGUUUGAUGUAAUUAAAUGUGAUGAAAUUUUUUAUCUUUUGGUUGCCGACGGUCAAAUCAUAGUGGCAUAAGGAUUAAAGACGCUGCCAUAGGAACAAAGAAAGAAAAGAGGUUUUUGUAAGCAUCAUAAUUUUCUUGGUCAUAAAACCUCUCAAUGUGUUAUUUUCAGGGAUCUAGUACAUAAUGCUUUGAAAGGCAGAAGGUUAAAUUUUGGAGACAAAUCCAAGAAACCAAUGCAGAUUGAUACUAACCCUCUCAAAAUCCAAUAAGCACAUCUGAAGGUGUGUGUCGAAACCUUGAUGGUUGAGACUCCCAUGGAUAUCAAAGAAAAGGUCGAAGAAGUAAGUGUACUGGAUUAUGCUGAGAAGAUUAAGGUGGUGUAUCCUAAGGAUGAAGGAAAACUGGUCAAUUUCAUAAACUAUUGCACGCUGAAGGUUUCUGAAGUUAUGUUAUUCCCUCUUUGUAGUGUUGUUUUUAACAAGGAGGCUACCAAAUACCUCAAAAGUAUAAGGCCUCAACAACCAAAUAAGAACAAUUGGAGUGAAAGGAGACCAUAUUUUUCUUUUGAUAAGAUAAGAGUCCCUUACAAAAAAUACCAGGAGCCUACAAACAAGUGGAUAAGCCAAAGGAAAAUCUACCAUUUGUUGUUGUUCCCUCUGGUGAAUGGAUUUGACCAAUAGUCAAACCAAACUCUGUUCAACAUAAGUAUAGGGUAAUCGAGGUGGGUGUCGGUUCUUCUUAUCAUGAUAAUUCUUAAGUGUCAAAGAACUAUUCCUAUGGUUAUAUAAAUUAUUUGGGUAAAAAGUCCAUGACUAGAACCCAAUGGCGAAGGUACUAAAGGAAUAAUAAGGCAGGUAUGGAGGCUCCAGAGUCUAGUAAUAAUGGAAAAUUCAUAACACUAACAGAGGAUCGGGUGGAAAAGAAGCCCAUGAGGGAAAUAAUUUUUCCUUAUUUUCUUGCAAUAGUUAAACCAAAUGGCAAGGACCCAUUUCCAAAUGAAGAUGACGAAAUGCUGACAUACAAUUUCAAAUCUGGAUUCGAGAAUGAUUUUGAUGUUAUUUGUAAUGUUGUUUCUAAUUUUCCCAUUGAAUUCAAUAGGGUUAUUGAGGUUACAAAAGAAAAGGAGAAUGAGUUUGCUAAAGAAUCAACAAAGCAUAAGCCUUUGUGUUACUAUGUAAUGAAUAACGAUUGCAUAGAUAAAGAUAAUGUCAUUUUUGAAAGGCCUGAUUUAGGAAUGCAACAACACUUGAAGCCUCUUUUCACAUUGGUUAAGGUUGAGAAUGUAAGGGUUAAUAAAUUCCUAGUAGAUAGAGUGAUAGUUAUUAACCUAAUGCCACAAUCUUUGUUAAAGAAGAUUAGAAAAUAUGACACUAAAUUAAAGCCUCGUACCAUGGUUAUGCCCAAUUAUGAAGGGAAAAUGAGUUAUCUUUUAGGGGUCAUACAAGUUGACAUUGUGGUACGGACCAUUGAAAGAGCAACAUUAUUCACGGCCAUUUUGACCAAGGAAAAUUAUAACCUAUUUCUUAGUCGAGAAUUAAUCCCAUAGUGCAGGAGCAGAACCUUCGACGGUCCACCAGAGGAUCUCGAUUGGGAGACCUGAUAGAAUUGUAGAAAAUAUUGAGGCAAAUCAAAUUUAUUACUUAACUAAAGUUAACCAUAUAGAUAAGAAAAACAUUGAUAGACAACUGGUGAACAUUUUGCCAUGAAUGCCUAUUGGGACAUGGUUUUCUCUAUAGGGGGUGUGUUCUACUCUAUGAAGUUACAUAUCACACAUGGGUUCAUGAGGGAGAAAGAGAUCAUCGAAGGUACUAGAUGGUUAGAGACAGAAGAUAACAAUAAUUGAGUCGAACACACUUGCUCAAAUUUUGGCCUAUAUGGUUGAAAACAGAAUAAAGGAGGGCUUAAAGGUCAACUCUCAACAAAUGAUGGUUGUCAAAGCCAGUACAAUUGAAGUUAAUAAAACAUGUGAGGUUGGUGAAAAUCCAAUUUCAGCCAGCCAGAGGCUUGAUUACAAAUAUGUUGACGACCCUUUGGGAUUUGAGAAGGAUCCAAUAGCCUCAGAUAAGAGAAUACAAGAGCAAGAUCCAUUGGAAGAGGUAAAUUUAGGAGAUAAAGAAAUUAAAAAGCUAACUUAUAUCAGUGUAAAGAUUUAUCCAAGUAUGAAGAUCCAGAUGAUCAAAUUGCUUAAAGAGAUUAAAGAGUGUUUCACUUGGGAUUACGAUGAAAUGCUAGGACUUAGUCGAGAUCAGGUGGAGAUGAGAUUUCCUAUUUGACAUGACAAGAGGCUAGUGAAGCAGAUGCCAAGGAUAUUUGCACCAAAAGUUAUGUCAAAGAUCAAAGAAGAAAUUGAAAGUAUUCUGAGAAACAAGUUCCUACGAACUUCUAGGUAUGUUGAAUGGUUAGAAAAUAUAGUUCAUGUCAUUAAAAAGAAUAUAACUCUUACAAUUUGUAUAGAUUUUAGAGAUUUAAAUGUUACUACCUGAAAAGAUGAAUGCCUAAUGCAUGUAGCAAAAAUGUUAGUCGAUUCAGCAGUAGGUUUUUAGUAUUUAAGUAUGUUAGAUGGUUAUUUUGUGAUAUGCACUAACCUUUGAGACUUAUGCAUUUCCUUCAAAAUUCCUGAAACAACUUUGUUAACUUUUGGAAUAUUAAUUCUUUUGUGACUCAGAGGAAGUAAUCUGCCUUAUAAUUGAAAGAAUGACAGAAUUUGAUACAUGCAUAUAAAAUAAACGAGAUUGAUAUGAAAUAAAGGAGAAAUAAGAAAUGGAAUUAAGUAGAAGGGGCGCCACACUCUUUCUAAUCCAAGAGAGAAUGAUAAGCCUAUGGAUGAGGAUCACCACAAGAAAAGGAUUUCUUGAUAAGAUCAAUUUUGGUCCAAUCCAGAACCUAAGAGCAAAUACUCUCACUUACACAAUGUGUAAACUUGCCAAAAUUCAUUGAUCCAAAAAGAAGAUACAUGCCUCCUUUAUAUAGGAAUGGCUUAAGAUGAUGAAAUAAGUAAAAAUUAACUCCUAAGAAAACAAAAGGUUUCAGCCACUAAUUAUCAUGAUAGUGGGUUGAGUUAUUACAAAGAAAGUGCAAAAUAAAGAAGAGAUAGUGGGGUUCUUGAAAGGGCAGAAUAAUGGCAAUUCUUUAUUUACCACUUCUCUU